GCAGCAUCAUAAAAGUUACUGUAAUUCUUAUUUACCACAUCUGCUGAUGAAACCUUAGCCAACAACACAAAGGCUGUGUCACAAAUCAGAACGAUCACACCUUAUAAAUUAUGCAAACUCUAUCCCUUCCCCAUUGAGUAAAAGUAAAAAUUCCUCAAAAUCGAAAAGUUAAAAGUAGAAGCAGUAAGCUUAAGCCCUUUCAUGGAAGUUAAGGGAGCGCGAGAAAGCGGCGGGAUUAGCCCGCAGCAGCAGCGCUCUAUCAUCAAGGGGUAUCCGGGCAGGUGCCUUGGAUUCCCUGAACAUUCCGACGGCGUCGCUAACGUUGUUGAUUCUCCACUCGUCCCUUGAAUGCUUGCCCAGAAGAGAAGGCGGCGAGGCGCAGUAGAAGCUGAAGAGGAAGUCGGUGUGGUCGAGGGCGGUUUUGGUCUUCCGCCGCCCCGAUCCGACGGCGACGUUCCUCAUUGUUCCGCCGCUGGUCCAGUAUCUCUGACACUGCUUGCAGAAGUGACGAGGCUGGUUGACGUUGUAGUUGUUGAAGUAG
rnacentral:lncRNA from 1 species